AUCCAGCUGACGAGUCCCAAAUAGGACGAAACGCUCGUCCUGAAU
rnacentral:hammerhead_ribozyme from 1 species